UGGGGAAUUUUGGACAAUGGGCGCAAGCCUGAUCCAGCCAUGCCGCGUGCAGGAUGAAGGCCUUCGGGUUGUAAACUGCUUUUGUACGGAACGAAAAGUCUCUUUCUAAUAAAGAGGGAUCAUGACGGUACCGUAAGAAUAAGCACCGGCUAACUACGUGCCAGCAGCCGCGGUAAUACGUAGGGUGCAAGCGUUAAUCGGAAUUACUGGGCGUAAAGCGUGCGCAGGCGGUGAUGUAAGACAGGUGUGAAAUCCCCGGGCUUAACCUGGGAAUUGCAUUUGUGACUGCAUCGCUGGAGUGCGGCAGAGGGGGAUGGAAUUCCGCGUGUAGCAGUGAAAUGCGUAGAUAUGCGGAGGAACACCGAUGGCGAAGGCAAUCCCCUGGGCCUGCACUGACGCUCAUGCACGAAAGCGUGGGGAGCAAACA
rnacentral:rRNA from 1 species